CCUUGAAGAAUGAGAUAAGAAGGCUGUUGUCCUUGCUUUAAGCGCUAAUCUUGGGGGUAUUCAUGGAGGUGCACAAGUUCUUAGAUAAUGGGACUGUUCGAUGAUGUUUGGAAUGCUUGAUUUAAAAGUAAAGUGCCAAGGAGGACGUAAAAGCUUUUGAGGAC